AGUGGGAUAGCUGGGUCAAAUGGUGGUUCCAUUCCCAGUUUUCUGAGGAAUCUCCAUACUGCUUUCCAUAGUGGUUGUACCAAUUUGCAGUUCCACCAGCAAU
rnacentral:pre_miRNA from 1 species